CUCAUCAUGAGUGGCGGAGGGACUGGCCCUAAGAAACCACGGCAACCAUUCUCAGGAAACGGUGCCAAUUCCAGCGGAUUUUAUCCGAAAGAUGAU
rnacentral:ncRNA from 1 species